AUGCAGGUAUGGAGGUGUGCACAGGGCUGAGCUCUGGCUGGAUAGCUGGGAAGCACUCUGUGGUUGCCCCUGCUGAGAGGAAGGUUGCCCACAGUCUCUGUCCAGCUCACUUCUGUAGGAAGGGACGCUUGGUCACAAGCAU
rnacentral:snoRNA from 1 species